ACUUAAAUUGAAGAGUUUGAUCAUGGCUCAGAUUGAACGCUGGCGGCAGGCCUAACACAUGCAAGUCGAGCGGUAGCACAGAGAGCUUGCUCUCGGGUGACGAGCGGCGGACGGGUGAGUAAUGUCUGGGAAACUGCCUGAUGGAGGGGGAUAACUACUGGAAACGGUAGCUAAUACCGCAUAAUGUCGCAAGACCAAAGUGGGGGACCUUCGGGCCUCAUGCCAUCAGAUGUGCCCAGAUGGGAUUAGCUAGUAGGUGGGGUAACGGCUCA
rnacentral:rRNA from 1 species